CGCAAUCUACCGCAAUACUCGCAACACCUUGUAGCUAGUACUCCUGCGGUCUCCUCCAUGGGUGGGAACUGUCGGUCUCCAUGGCAUUUCCUUGGAGACUCUGACGUCAAUGGCCUGGAAUAUUCCCAGAUCCAGUUCCAGAAGCUCAGUUCCUUUGAAGCUUGAGGAAGAAGCAAAGUGGCUUACUGGAAGAGAACCAUCGCGAGCCUUCCACUGUGUUGCAGAAUCAUCGCGAGCCUACUACUAUAUACUGUGUUGCAGAACUAUCGCAAGCCUACCACGGUAUUGCAAGAACCAUCGCGAGCCUUCCACUGCGUUGCAGAACUAUCGCGAGACUUCCACUGUGUUGCAAGAACCAACGCAACAACGCAAGCCUUCCAGCGGACUAUUGUAAGUUGAAACUGUACCUCUGCAUUCAUCUUGUCUGUCGCUUGUUGCACGUGUACGCGUGUAUGUUGUUGCAGCUAUUAGAUUGGUUGUUCACUCUCUGGCCUUUGAGUGUAUCGGUGUUGCAUUGUUUGUUGAGAGUGGAAGGUUUCUGCUCUUGUAUUUAAGGACGUGUGUAUUUAAGGAAUGUGGCCUCUUCUUGACUGUGAGGUGUGUAGGUCAUGCAGCUUAAUAGAUACAUACUUGCCAGCAAAGCGCACAUUAAAUGCAUGUAUGCAUGGCUAAACUCGUGUCGACAACGCUUUUUAUGUACUGUUUAUAUACGCGUGGCUAAGAGUCUAUUACCUGCAUGGCCUUGAACCCUUUGGUGGGGGAGGGGGGUGGUGGUGUCCGUAGCACUCAAGUAAUCAAUCAGAAUGUGUGUGGAAGGUUCUUCAACAGUCGGGUCGCAGGACAGCAUCUUCUUGUUCUUGGAACCGUUGUCGAACCAGCCUUUGGGGUGCAAUGAUGGAUUACUCAUGGCAUUCCAGUCUAUUGAGGGAGCACUCUGCUGUUAGUACCUGCCUAAAGGGAAAGCAGCACAGGGUCCUGCCAUAAUUGGGAGUGUUAAGAUCUCGUUAUCAGUUCCAAUAGUUAGUUAGCUAGGAUCAUUAGAAAAUAGCUAGCUAUAAUAUAGUUAGACAACUGCUGCUUCUUGACUUAUGCUAAUCUGUUAUAACGGCUUUUUUAGGAUCUUAACUCUGUGCCUACUGCACAUGGAAUUGGUAAGUUCAGGCUUUAACUAAACCUAGGUGUGCCAAGGGAACUGUAGCCUUUGACUGGUUUAGUAAAGAGUAGUCUUGAGCACUUGUGCAAGCCUUGCGUGCCAGGCUUGUUACAACUGGAGUCGACAAGGGCUUCAAGAGCAAGGAGGUGUUGUCUCUGUGAGUCUACUGUUGUUUGAACCAUCCCACACAUUCUGGUUGAUUACUUCUGUGCUCAGUUAAUGGUACUCACAGUCACAGGGUCCCUUUAGUUUAUUAUGCCCUUAUUGUAUUAGUCCCUUGGGGAGGAAACUACUGGUGGUGGUUGAUUUGAUUGGUUGUUGUGGUUGGUUUAUUAUGAUGGGAAGUUCUGUCUCUUCUCUGCACAGUUGGUUUGACAGAUUGUCUGGUAUUGUGUUGAUAAUAAUUAUCUGGAGGUUGUUGUCAUCUCUUCUCUGCACAACACACUGCUGAUUGUUUGGUGUUGGAUUGUGGGAGUAUUGAUAAUAUAAUGUAUUAUUGGUGAUGUUUUGUCAGCUGUGGUGGUGAUUGGCUGGUAUGUGAGUGGAUGGUUUUGUUUGAACUGCUGCGCUCAAUGUAACCAUGCAUUUGCUUGUUCUCUUGCAGCCACAAUGCACACACACACAGCUCCUCCUACUAGCUACUGUACUAGUGUUCCAUUCUCUCACUGCUUUUGUCUCCUCUCUCCCCCAGGUACAGACAAGCCAUGCUGCUCUGGGACCCAGGAAGGAUUACUAACCUGAUCAAUGACUGCAUGUUCUGCAUAUAUAAUUAUAUUGCAGGGUAUGGAAGGGGGCGGGAUUGGCUGUACGCCCCCACAUCUCUUUAGGGGCGGGGCUCGGAUCUCAACGCCCACUAUUACAAGUCUAGUGUGUGUAGCUGCAUGUAUGUAUGGACACAUUCAAGAUGAGUAUGGCUGGCUACAUGUACAGUGUUUUUCAUACAUUCCAUGAUGGUAGGUUGAUGUCUGCACAACAAAAGAUGAGUAGCUCCAUUGUGUACAGUAUCCUUGAGGGCCACCCUAACUGCAUCUAUAUAUACACAACAGAUGAGUAGCUCCAUUGUGUACAGUAUCCUUGAGGGCCACCCUAACUGCAUCUACACAACAGAUGAGUAGCUCCAUUGUGUACAGUAUCCUUGAGGGGCCACCCUAACUGCAUCUACAAAAACAGGCUAGCUAUGUUAUGUGGCAAGUCUUCCAUGUUCUCUGUGCAGGUUGAUUGUGUAUGGAGGAGCCACUGUAACAGCAUACACACAGAUAAGUAGCUAGCUAUGUUGUGUGGCAAGUCUUUCAUGCUCUCUGUGCAGGUUGAUUGCGUGUGGGGGAGCCACUGUAACAGCAUACACACAGAUGAGCAGCUAGCUAUGUUGUGUGUCAUGUCUUUCAUGCUCUCUGUGCAGGUUGAUUGUGUGGGGGAGCCACUGUAACAGCAUACACACAGAUGAGCAGCUAGCUAUGUUGUGUGUCAUGUCUUUCAUGCUCUCUGUGCAGGUUGAUUGUGUGGGGGAGCCACUGUAACAGCAUACACACAGAUGAGUAGCUAGCUAUGUUGUGUGGCAAGUCUUUCAUGUGCUCUGUGCAGGUUGAUUGUGUGGAGGAGCCACUGUAACAGCGUACGCACAGAUAAGUAGCUAGCUAUGUUGUGUGGCAAGUCUUUCAUGCUCUCUGUGCAGGUUGAUUGCGUGUGGGGGAGCCACUGUAACAGCAUACACACAGAUGAGCAGCUAGCUAUGUUGUGUGUCAUGUCUUUCAUGCUCUCUGUGCAGGUUGAUUGUGUGGGGGAGCCACUGUAACAGCAUACACACAGAUGAGCAGCUAGCUAUGUUGUGUGUCAUGUCUUUCAUGCUCUCUGUGCAGGUUGAUUGUGUGGGGGAGCCACUGUAACAGCAUACACACAGAUGAGUAGCUAGCUAUGUUGUGUGGCAAGUCUUUCAUGCUCUCUGCAGGUUGAUUGUGUGUGGGGGAGCCACUGUAACAGCAUACACACAGAUGAGUAGCUAGCUAUGUUGUAUGGCGUGUCUUUCAUGCUCUCUGUUGUGCAGGUUGAUGCAUAUGGAGAAGCCACUGUAACAGCAUACACGUACACACAGAUGAGUAGCUAGCUAUGUUGUAUGGCACGUCUUUACGAUGCCUAUACUUCAAGUUGAUUGCUUGGGAUGGACAGCAGUAACCAACACUACAAGCAGCUCUACUCUUAUUCUGAUUGCUGUAGUUACAAAUUGUUCCUUAAUUGGCUUACAAUUCGUAUGACAAUAAUUAUGUUUAAUUUUUAAUUAUUAUAAUAGUUAAAUAAGUUGGUAA